AACACAUGCAAGUCGAACGAAGCACUCAGGAGCGACUUCGGUCAAUCCUGUUUGACUUAGUGGCGGACGGGUGAGUAACGCGUGAGGAACCUGCCUUGCAGUGGGGAAUAACAGUUGGAAACGACUGCUAAUACCGCAUAAUGCAGAGAGAUCGCAUGGUCUUUCUGCCGAAGAUUUAUCGCUGUGAGAUGGCCUCGCGUCUGAUUAGCUAGUUGGUGAGGUAACGGCUCACCAAGGCGACGAUCAGUAGCCGGACUGAGAGGUUGAUCGGCCACAUUGGGACUGAGACACGGCCCAGACUCCUACGGGAGGCAGCAGUGGGGAAUAUUGGGCAAUGGGCGCAAGCCUGACCCAGCAACGCCGCGUGAAGGAAGAAGGCUUUCGGGUUGUAAACUUCUUUUAUUAGGGACGAUAAUGACGGUACCUAUUGAAUAAGCUCCGGCUAACUACGUGCCAGCCGCCGCCGUAA
rnacentral:rRNA from 1 species